rnacentral:rRNA from 1 species
UACGAAGGGUGCAAGCGUUGUUCGGAUCGACUGGGCGUAAAGGGCGUGUAGGCGGUCGGCCAAGUCUGAUGUGAAAGCCCGGGGCUCAGCCCCGGAAGUGCGUCGGAAACUAGCUGGCUGGAGCGCGAUAGAGGAGGGUGGAAUUCCUGGUGUAGCGGUGAAAUGCGUAGAUAUCAGGAGGAACACCGGCGGCGAAGGCGGCCCUCUGGAUCGUUGCUGACGCUGAGACGCGAAAGCGUGGGGAGCAAACAGG